UUCAGGUGAAGUAUAGCAAGUAAUUGACCACUGUAAUCAUAAAUACAAUUACUUCUUAAUGUGAUCAGAUGAACACGAUAAUUCACGAGUGGUGAAUCAUGCCAAGUGGAAUUUUGAAGGAUUCUACAAGAUGGCCGUUGAGGAAUCUCUGUGUCAUCGCCGUCAUCGCCUGUGCAACCAUCGCUGUCUCUCUAGCACCUCUCACUUUUCUAUAGUCCGUAAUUGUUAAGUUUUAUCGAAAAAUGUUUUUGCCGUCCAGUGGAUAAAUUCUCUUUUAUUUGGGUGAAUGGAUUUGGGUCAUUACAGACUCAAAUCGAGUUUAGGUUGAUAGAGGAAUUGGUACUUGCAGUAAUUUUGAGUAUCUUCUUAUUUUUUUAUUUUUUCAUUCAAGGGAACGGAAUAUUUUCGUUAAAUUAAUCAUUCCUCGAAAACUCUGCAAUUCCCGGAAGAUGAUUUGAUUUCUUUAUUCAUUUUAAUUAAUUUCCAUUUCGUGGGUGUCAUUUUUGUAUUAACUUCUGUUAUAAUUCUUGAAAAAUAAGUCAUUAGCCCCCUCGCAGACAUUCAAUAAUACCUACCACAUGAAAUGAUUACCUAAGGUAUAUUUUUCAAAUAGGAACAUAAUUUUAUAAUUGAUGGUCUUAUGUUUUUAUUGGUUUAUUGUUGUAAACAAUCUAUAACUUUAAGAUAUUCCACGAUAGUGGAGAGACAAUAAAUCUUGCAUAAAUAGAUGUAGGUAUUUGAUAAUGUUUUUAUAAGCGAUUGGGUUAUGAAUAAUCUCUUGUUAUUCCAGGAAUAAUAAUGUACCUUAUGAAUGAAUGGAGAUAUUUUGAUGGUUAUAAUGAA